GGUGCCGUAGCCAAGCAGUAAGGCAGGGGACUGCAAAUCCCCCAUGCGUGAGUGCGAUCCUCACCGGCACCUCCA
rnacentral:tRNA from 1 species